rnacentral:rRNA from 1 species
UGAGUAACGCGUGGGUGACCUACCUGGAAGUGGGGAAUAACUGCCCGAAAGGGUGGCUAAUACCGGAUGUGAUGGCGAGUAUAGAGCUCGUCAUGGAAGUCUUCGGACGCUUCGAGAGGGGCCCGCGUUCGAUUAGCUAGUUGGCGGGGUAACGGCCUACCAAGGCGACGAUCGAUAGCUGGUCUAAGAGGAUGAUCAGCCAGACUGGGACUGCGAGACGGCCCAGACUCCUACGGGAGGCAGCAGUUAGGAAUUUUGGGCACUGGGCGAACGCCUGACCCAGCAACGCCGCGUGGGUGAUGCAGGCCUUCGGGUCGUAAAGCCCUUUUUC